rnacentral:rRNA from 1 species
UACAGGGGGGGCAAGCGUUGUUCGGAAUUACUGGGCGUAAAGGGCUCGUAGGCGGCCAACUAAGUCACACGUGAAAUCCCCAGGCUUAACCUGGGAACUGCGUGUGAUACUGGAUGGCUUGGAUUUGGGAGAGGGAUGCGGAAUUCCAGGUGUAGCGGUGAAAUGCGUAGAUAUCUGGAGGAACACCGGUGGCGAAGGCGGCUUUCUGGGUCUCUUCUGACGCUGAGGAACGAAAGCUAGGGUAGCGAACGGG